AGCAGCCGCGGUAAUUCCAGCUCCGAUAGCGUAUAUUAAAGUUGUUGCAGUUAAAAGCUCGUAGUUGAAUUUCGGGACUAAUAUGUCGGUCGUGCCUCGGUACGUACUGGUUUAUUGGUUUCUCCUUUCUGAAGAACCAUGAUGUCAUUUAUUUGGUGUCGUGGGGAAUCAGGACUGUUACUUUGAAAAAUUGAGUGUUUAAAGCAGGCUCACGCUUGAAUACAUUAGCAUGGAAUAAUGAAAUAGGACGUUUGAUUCUAUUUUGUUGGUUUCUAGGAUCGACGUAAUGAUUAAUAGGGAUAGGUUGGGGGCAUUAGUAUUCAAUUGUCAGAGGUGAAAUUC
rnacentral:rRNA from 1 species